UAGGUAGGUGAUGAGUCUGUUGAAAAGAUAGAAGAGGAGAAAGAAGAAGAGGAGAAAGAGAAGGAGAAAGAAGAAGAGAGUGGAGAAUCUAUAGACUUGAAUUGAGGUAUUAGAGCAAGAAAGUCAACAAUAUUUGGGGAUCAAUAUGUGCAUUUCAACGUCAGCAUCCCUACGCUGAAGACAAGUAAAGAAGCUGGAAGCUGGAGCAAAGUGAAUCAUGAUAUCAGAGUUAUAACUUUUUUUUUACAUAAAACAGAGAGUUAUGAAAAACUGAAGUCUAUUGAAUUUAAUUUAUAUCACAUUUGUAUUCAGAAAUUUUCAAUGACAUUAAAAUUGAGUUUA